rnacentral:rRNA from 1 species
AACGAACGCUGGCGGCAGGCUUAACACAUGCAAGUCGAACGGAUCCUUCGGGAUUAGUGGCAGACGGGUGAGUAACGCGUGGGAACGUACCCUUUGCUACGGAAUAACUCAGGGAAACUUGAGCUAAUACCGUAUGUGCCCUAAGGGGGAAAGAUUUAUCGGCAAAGGAUCGGCCCGCGUUGGAUUAGCUAGUUGGUGGGGUAAUGGCCUACCAAGGCGACGAUCCAUAGCUGGUCUGAGAGGAUGAUCAGCCAGACUGGGACUGAGACACGGCCCAGACUCCUACGGGAGGCAGCAGUGGGGAAUAAUGGACAAUGGGCGCAAGCCUGAUCCAGCCAGGCCGCGUGAGUGAUGAAGGUCUUAGGAUUGUAAAGCUCUUUCACCGGUGAAGAUAAGGACGUAAGCCGUAGAAGAAGCCCGGGCUAACUUCGU